GAUGAACGCUGGCGGCGUGCCUAAUACAUGCAAGUCGAGCGAACAGACGAGGAGCUUGCUCCUCUGACGUUAGCGGCGGACGGGUGAGUAACACGUGGAUAACCUACCUAUAAGACUGGGAUAACUUCGGGAAACCGGAGCUAAUACCGGAUAAUAUAUUGAACCGCAUGGUUCAAUAGUGAAAGACGGAUUUGCUGUCACUUAUAGAUGGAUCCGCGCCGCAUUAGCUAGUUGGUAAGGUAACGGCUUACCAAGGCAACGAUGCGUAGCCGACCUGAGAGGGUGAUCGGCCACACUGGAACUGAGACACGGUCCAGACUCCUACGGGAGGCAGCAGUAGGGAAUCUUCCGCAAAGGGCGAAAGCUUGACGGAGCAACGCCGCGUGAGUGAUGAAGGUCUUCGGAUCGUAAAACUCUGUUAUUAGGGAAGAACAAAUGUGUAAGUAACUAUGCACGUCUUGACGGUACCUAAUCAGAAAGCCACGGCUAACUACGUG
rnacentral:rRNA from 1 species